GAGCCAAAGCAACAAAAAAAGUGUCACUGUCCGAAUACUUUUGCAUUUAACAAUGUAAGUCCGUAAUAUUUACAAUUGCAUCUGGCAACAUCAAAUAAAUGAUCAGAUAAAUUUCAGUCUCGACGAUGCAAUCAAACUGUGCUGCGCGCUGCAAUCGCUCGCUUUCUCCCAAAGGAAUAAAAUUUGAAAUUCCAUCUGGGAAUGAUUGGUCAGCCGAAGUCACGUUGCUUGUGUAACUCUGUCAGACAGAGCCUGCACCAUUGUUUUCUCUAGCAGCCGGAAGGUUGGGUUUAGCUUCAGAGGCAAGUAUGCAGAUGGGCUAAUGGUCAGACCUUAAUUACAGAACUCGCAUCGCAACAAUGAAAUAGAGUUGUUUUAUGUGUAAUACGAGUAUGACGCGCAAAUGUAAAAUCUAAUUUUCUUUUAGCAUCGUCAUUCGUUCAGAGGGAUAGUGCGUAAGAGGCAGCGAGUCAUCUUAUGAUUUGACAGGAUGAAUGGACAGAGGCAUUUCAUAAGAACAUAAUUUCACCACUUGCCGAUUAAGCCCCCUCGCCUUUGUCCAUCCCAUCAGCCCCCUCUGCUCGGGUCUCUGGCUCUCACCGGCUCUCAGUGCGGUGCGGUGGGGAAUGAAGAAGGGGCCCUUGGAUCAAGACCCCAGAGCGCUGGGAUAGCUGGAUUGCACGCCGCUUGAACUGCAGCAGGAUGGGAGCUCCUCUUACGGUGCGCCUCGUCUGUCUUUGACCAGCUUCCUUUCGUUUCUUAUUUUCUCUCACCACUCCGAGGUGGAGCCGCGAUACCCGGAGCGUUCCCUGAUAGAA